ensembl:snoRNA
GCACGGGUUUGGAUUUGUGGCAGGUCCAAUCCCCUGGGCCUCUCACAGUGUCCCAUGUGAAAGCAAACUGUCAUCUUGGACCAUUGCCUGGCUCUACCCUAUGGGCUUCAGGCACUGAAGCGGGUUGCACGGUG